UGUUUUAAUCACAGCUUUGCAUUGUUGAAGAACACUGUUGCACAUUAUUGAGUUAUUUCGUCCCCAAUAAAUAGGUUUGUUUAUGAGGUCAAUAAGUAAUUUUCAUUACAGCGAAAUCUCGAGGUGCAGCUCUUUCGGAUUUGGCGACGUGUGGAAAGUACAAGGAUAUUUCAUCCUCAAUAAUCGCCCCAAUACGCUUCGGAAACUUUAAUAGUUAACGAUGCGUGGAAAGUGGAAGAAGAAGAGAAUGCGCAGAUUGAAGCGUAAGCGAAGAAAGAUGCGAGCGAGAUCCAAGUAAAUCUCCGGCAUUUAAUAUAAAAUGAACAAAUGAUCUUCUUGUCUUCUGAUGUCGCUUUAACUUUGGAGAAACUUCUGAUGAUACAUCUUUUGUUCCUCGAGUUCGAACUAUCUUGAUGAUAUUUGAAUACAAGAUAUUGUUUGUUUUA